CCAGCCGAGAAAUUGGCAUCCAAUUCUUUGAUUCACUUUUGGACACAAAGAAAAUAGAACGAUUCAACCCUCCCAGCAAUGUCACCGUACGUUGCAACACGACGCACUGCCUCGUACGGUGGAAACAGCCCAGGACCUAUCAGAAGCUGUCGUACCUGGACUUUCAGUACCAGCUGGACGUCCACAGAAAGAAUACCCAGCCUGGCACGGAAAACCUACUGAUUAAUGUUUCUGGUGAUUUGGAAAAUAGAUACAACUUUCCAAGCUCUGAGCCCAGAGCAAAACACAGUGUGAAGAUCAGAGCUGCAGACGUCCGCAUCUUGAAUUGGAGCUCCUGGAGUGAAGCCAUUGAAUUUGGGUCUCACUCUGUCACCCAGGUUGUAGUGAGCCAAGAUCGCACCAUUGCACACCAACCUGCGUGACAGAGCAAGAUUGCAUCUCAAAACAAACAAUAAUAAUAAAUAAUAAAAACCUGA
rnacentral:lncRNA from 1 species